GAGUUUGAUCCUGGCUCAGAACGAACGCUGGCGGCGUGGAUAAGACAUGCAAGUCGAGCGCUGAUUACAGGGUAGCAAUAUUCUGUAGUUGGAGCGGCGCAAGGGUGCGUAACACGUGGGUAAUCUGCCAUGAAGUCUGGGAUAACUCGCUGAAAGGCGAGCUAAUACCGGAUGUGAAAAUUAGGAGGCAUCUUCCGAUUUUCAAAGCUGGGGACCGUAAGGCCUGGCGCUUCAUGAUGAGCCCGCGGCCUAUCAGCUAGUUGGUGAGGUAACGGCUCACCAAGGCUAAGACGGGUAGCUGGUCUGAGAGGACGACCAGCCACACUGGAACUGAGACACGGUCCAGACACCUACGGGUGGCAGCAGUCGAGAAUUUUUCACAAUGGGGGAAACCCUGAUGGAGCGACGCCGCGUGGGGGAUGAAUGGCUUCGGCCCGUAAACCCCUGUCAUUUGCGAACAAAUUGGUUCAAUUAAUAACUGAACCAUUGAUAGUAGCGAAANAAGAANGGACGGCUAACUCUGUGCCAGCAGCCGCGGUAAUACAGAGGUCCCAAGCGUUGUUCGGAUUCACUGGGCGUAAAGGGUGCGUAGGCGGUCGGGUAAGUCUGAUGUGAAAUCUCACAGCUUAACUGUGAAACUGCAUUGGAUACUAUUCGGCUAGAGAGUUGGAGGGGGGACUGGAAUUCUUGGUGUAGCAGUGAAAUGCGUAGAUAUCAAGAGGAACACCAGUGGCGAAGGCGAGUCCCUGGACAACUUCUGACGCUGAGGCACGAAAGCUAGGGGAGCAAACAGGAUUAGAUACCCUGGUAGUCCUAGCUGUAAACGGUGCUUAUUUGCUGUAAAAGGAAUCGACCCCUUUUGUGGCGUAGCAAACGCGUUAAAUAAGCCGCCUGGGAAGUACGGUCGCAAGAUUAAAACUCAAAGAAAUUGACGGGGGCCUGCACAAGCGGUGGAGUAUGUGGCUUAAUUCGAUGCAACGCGAAGAACCUUACCUGGCCUUGACAUGCAAGUAGUAGAAGGAUGAAAGUCUGACGAUCCCGCAAGGGAAGCUUGCACAGGUGCUGCAUGGCUGUCGUCAGCUCGUGUCGUGAG
rnacentral:rRNA from 1 species